CUGGUCAAUUUGUUCCUUCAUUUUUCCUUCCUUAGAGAAGGCCUGGUAGUGCUUUUCUUGAAGUCCAUGUGUGAGGCCAUUGGAGAUGGAAAAAAUCCAGUACUGUGUCUUGAAAAU